GCCCUGCAGACCAAGGUGAAGUCGAUCACGCAGAGAAGAACAAGGGGAAGAGACAGGGAGAAAGACAGAGAAAGAUUUGACACGGAGGUGCUGGUGAGCAACCCAGCGGGGCACAUUUCAUCUGAAGUCCUCCUUAGACAGAGACCCAAAGUGAAAGGCCAGCUGUUUCUGCCUGCUCCCUCCUGGCGAUCAGGUGGUGCAAAGGACUUAAGCAGCAGUGAUGAAGAGGAGGAGGUAGAGGUACAAGUCAGUCUGGAGAUCCACAGUCCUCCCGCUGAAGCACAAGUUGUACAGCAGGGGGAGGAAGUGGAAGAGGAGCAGUCAGAAAACAAUGAUGGACAGGUCAGUCAUCCAACAGGUCAGCCUUGUGGGCUUGGAGAGGGCACCAGUCUGGAGAGUCUUCUGUCUGACAACUCAAGCACUAGCAAGGAUGGCCCAUCCCCUUCCCCUCCUCCUCUUCCACCACCACCUGUGCUCUCCUCCAACAUCUCUGCUUCUACAACAUCGUCCUUUACUUCCUCCACUUCUUCUCCUUCAGGAAGACACUGGGCCCCUCCAAAGGGCUUCUGGAGAGUAGCACGUCCAGAAACGUUGCUUCUCAAUGGGGUUGACCCUCACAAUACACCCCCCACAUUACCACUAAAGGACUACACUCGGACAGAGGCACUAGCAGAGCCUCAGAGGAAGCCUAAACUGGCUGAAGCAGGCAACAAGAAUGAUGUGGGAGGUCUGGCGAAUGACUAUGAUGUGUCUUCUGAAAUCCAAAACUCUAAUAGUGUGGAGUGGUACCUGGACAAGUAUGAGCAGAGGGAGACAGAUGUGACUGAUCCCAAUAAAGGACUGUGCAGUUCAGACAGCUCGGAGAGCAUGUCUUCACAAAGUGGAGUCCUUUGCGCUGAUGAUAAACUGAGGGUGAAGGAGAGGGCCUAUGCAAAGUUAAGGGAAAGACAACAACACUACAGGGAAGUGAGAGAACUGCACGAAGGAGAAAUCACUGGCUAUUACGAAGAAACAACGUACAGAGUGGAUUAUAAUGUUGCAGGUGCCCAUCCUGUUUUGGACACCUCAGACUCAGCCAUUCUGGCCCAGGAACUUGAACCCUAUUUAAGGUCACUUCUUGUAAUCAGCGAUGAACUACCUCUAAGCCCAAGACACGAGCAGGCCAAGCUUCUUCUGGAGCGAGCAAGACUCAAGGCUCGCUCCAAUCACAUCAAAGGCGAUCGCCCCAGCAGACGCUCCCAUUCUGAUCAAAGAUCCACCGUGAGGAAACAGCAGGUUGAAUCUCCCAGUCCAACAACAGUACAAAAAGCUGUUCAAACCAAAGAAGAGCUCCCAGCUCAAGUCUCAUCUGGUCCCCUGCUUGUCCCCAGUCAGAGAGACACUUCGCCCAGCGACCAAGUAGGUCGAACCAGAAGGUACGGUUGCUCACCCACCCGUGUACGCUUUGAGGAUGAAUCGGAAAAAGAAGCAGAGUCUCGCUACUUGGACAGAGUGAGACAGCGUGGCAGGCCCGGGACGCCCAGGUUCAAGAGUAAAGACAGCAAUAUAGAUUCCAGCAGCAGUGGCUCAGAGAGGAACAGAAACCACAGAAGUGUUUCUAUGCCUCCUAUACAGAAGCAAGAGGAUGAGCCUGCUGUUGGUGAAACCACAACAGUGGUUAAAGAGAUAAUAGUGCUGGUGAAGAAAUGUGAAUCAUGUGGUUCUGUGGUAAGGGAACCUCAGCCAGUUUCAUCGCCACCAGAUCCAAAGCACGCUGAGCCUCAGCAGCCUGGUAACCCUGAGGACCCAAGAGGAAAAGUGGCUCCUCGCUGGGUGUCACCAAACAAAGCGGAGGCAAGUACUCGUCCUAAAGCUCCUCUUACUGUCACCUUCGCCGGCGCUUAUGUUUUGGGGGAAAAUAGAGAAAUUAGUACAGGAUGGAAGUCAUCAGGGUUUGGGAAACUUAGGAGAAGGAGCAGGAAAGGAGAAAGUCGGUUAGAGUCUGGUCAUGGUCCUUAUGGCCCGUCGUGGGCUCAGCGGCGUAACUCAAAUCCACGUAACAGAGUCAACCUGAGCAGAGCUGUUUCAUUUGCACCUGGUAGCCCCAUUUCUCUGGAGCCACGUUUGCUUGAAGCAUCUGGUGGACUAAGGGAGUCACCAACCCCUGCAUUACCUAUCAAGUCAGCUCUGAAGUCAAGCUCAAGAAAUCGCUCUGCUGCUGGUCAGUCCACGGUUCAGUUCCAGAUGACCUCAAAUCAGGGAGGAGAGGGUGGAGCCCAAUCUCUGCUGGAUUCUCCAGACACAAGGAGGGAGUCUCCAGCAUCUUUAACCCCAGGGGUGCCUGCUACUAGCAGCCCAGUGUCCUGCAUUAGACCCUCUACUCUGAGGUACUCCCCAGCCAGGCUAGCCACAGACCUGCCAGGCUCUGAACUCUGGGAUGCCACCCCAGAUGGUGCAGG
rnacentral:lncRNA from 1 species